rnacentral:lncRNA from 1 species
AAAAGAAUUUUUGUCCUCGAAAAUUACCUGAAGAAAACAACUCCGGAUACGAAACCCUCAUCCUACUCUCUGAUUCCCAGGUAGCACUCUCACUAGUUGGUCCAACCCAAAUCACCUUCCCCAAAACAAUCUCUUUGCCUCUCAUACGCUUCACUUCCCGAUCCUCAAUCCUAACUGCUCAAGUAUAAACGGUCAAAUUAUCCCUUACUUCCAAAUCAUCCACUUGAAUCAUGUGAGACACAUCAUACACGUACUUCCGCAACUGAGACAC